UGCAGUCGAGCGAAUGGAUUAAGAGCUUGCUCUUAUGAAGUUAGCGGCGGACGGGUGAGUAACACGUGGGUAACCUGCCCAUAAGACUGGGAUAACUCCGGGAAACCGGGGCUAAUACCGGAUAACAUUUUGAACCGCAUGGUUCGAAAUUGAAAGGCGGCUUCGGCUGUCACUUAUGGAUGGACCCGCGUCGCAUUAGCUAGUUGGUGAGGUAACGGCUCACCAAGGCAACGAUGCGUAGCCGACCUGAGAGGGUGAUCGGCCACACUGGGACUGAGACACGGCCCAGACUCCUACGGGAGGCAGCAGUAGGGAAUCUUCCGCAAUGGACGAAAGUCUGACGGAGCAACGCCGCGUGAGUGAUGAAGGCUUUCGGGUCGUAUAACUCUGUUGUUAGGGAAGAACAAGUGCUAGUUGAAUAAGCUGGCACCUUGACGGUACCUAACCAGAAAGCCACGGCUAACUACGUGCCAGCAGCCGCGGUAAUACGUAGGUGGCAAGCGUUAUCCGGAAUUAUUGCGCGUAGAGCGCGCGCAGGUGGUUUC
rnacentral:rRNA from 1 species